rnacentral:rRNA from 1 species
UACAGAGAAUGCUAGCGGUGAUCGGAUUUACUGGGCUUAAAGGGUGUUUAGGCGGACGAGAAGGUGCUUUGUGAAAGCCCCCGGCUCAACCGGGGAAGGGCAGGGCAAACCACUUGUCUUGAGGCCAGCAGGGGUAUCCAGAACUUUGGGUGGAGCGGUGAAAUGCGUAGAUAUCCAAGGGAAUGCCGAUGGCGAAAGCGGGAUACUGGGCUGGUUCUGACGCUGAGACACGAAAGCGUGGGGAGCAAACAGG